rnacentral:lncRNA from 1 species
AUUUUGAUGUCACUAUUGUAAUUGUCUGGGAGUGUCACGAACUUCACCUAUGAAAGACAGUGACUCUUGUUAGGGGCUAGUGCAGCUGUUGACUUUAAUUUAAAGUCAAUGCUCAUUGGCUAUUCUGAAAAUUCUUUAAGAAUUAUGCUAAAUGGGCUGGACGUGGUGGCUGAUGCCUGUAAUCCUAGCACUUUGGGAGCCUGAGGCGGGUGGCCUCACCUGGGGUCAGGAGUUUGAGACCAGCCUGACCAACAUGGUGAAACCUCGUCUCUACUAAAAAUGCAAAAAUUAGCCGGGUGUGGUGGCAGGUGCCUGUAAUACCAGCUGCUUGGGAGGCUGAUGCACGAGAAUUGCUUGAACCUGGGAGGCGGAGGUUGCAGUGAGCCGAGAUUGUGCCACUGCACUCCAGCCUGGGGGACAGAGUGAGACUCCAUCUCAAAAAAAAAAAAAAAAAAAAAAAAAGAUUUAUGCUAAAUGGACUCAGCUUGUGCUCUAUAAAAAGAACAAAACCUGAAUGACAGCCCAUCUGUUUAUAGCAUGGUUUACUGAAUAUUUCAAGCCCACUGUUGAGACAUACUGCUCUGAGAAAAAUAUUGCUGCUCAUUGACAACACACCUGAUCACCCAAGAGCUCUGAUGAAGAUGUACAAAGAGAUGAAUGUUGUUUUCAUUCCUGCUAACACAACAUCCAUUCUGAAGUCCAUGGAUCCAGGAAUCAAUCUGGCUUGCUGGUUUCUAGUUGUAUUACUUAAGAAAUGCACUUUGUAAGGUUAUCAUUGCCAUAAAUACUGAUUUCUCUGAUGGAGCUGGGCAAAGUUAAUGAAAAAUCUUCUGAAAAAUAUUCACAAUUGUAGAUGUCAUUAAGAACAUUCAUGCUUCAUGGGAACAAGUGAAAAUAUCAACAUUAAUAUGAGUUUGGAAGAAGUUGAUUCCAACCCUAAUGGAUGACUUCGAGAGGUUCAAGACUUCAGUGGAGGAAGUCACUGUAGGUGACUUAGGAGGAAAUAGCAAAAUAACUAGAAUUAGCAGUGGAGCCUGAAGAUGUGACUAAAUUGCUACAAUCUCAUGAUAAAACUUGAACAGACGAGGAGUUAUUUCAUAUGGAUGAGCAAAGAGUGGUUUCUUGAGAUAGCAUCUACUCUUGAUGAAGACAACGUGAACAUUGUUGAAAUGACAACAAACGAUUUAGAAGAUUAAAUAAACUGAGUUGAAAAAGCGGUGGGGUUUGAGAGGAUUGACUCUAAUUUUGAAAGAAGUUCUAGGCUGGUUUCAGUGAUUCAUGUCUAAUCCGAGCACUUUGGGAGGCUGGGGCAGGAUGAUCGCUUGAGGCCAGGCAUUGGAGAUUAGCUUGGGCAACAUAGUGAGACCCUGUUGCUAUUAAAUCAAACAGCACCCCAUGCUAUAGAGAAAUCUUUCAUGAAGAGUCAAUCAAUAUGGCAAACUUCAUUGCUGUCUUAUUUUGUGACGUUGCCACAGCCACCCCAACCUUCAGCAACCACCACCUUGAUCAGUCAGCAGCUGUCAACAUCAAGGUUUUAUCUUCAUCAGCCUGGUCAAAGCUGGAUUUCCAUCACACAUGUGCUCACUCCACGGAACGUGCAAAAGGUCAAGACAUACAAACUCAGAGUUUUUAAAAUCAAGAAUUGAAAGUGGUCCACUAGCUUCUGUUCAUAGGACAUUGAGCCCCAGAUUUGGCACAUGACCGUCACCCACUCGGAACAUGAAGCACAGCUUGCCAUUUCGGACGGCAAUC